rnacentral:rRNA from 1 species
GCCUACGGGAGGCAGCAGUUAGGAAUAUUCGUCAAUGGGGGAAACCCUGAACGAGCAAUGCCGCGUGCGGGACGAAGGCCCUCGGGUUGUAAACCGCUUUCAGCAGGGAAGAUCCAAGACGGUACCUGCAGAAGAAGCUCCGGCUAACUACGUGCCAGCAGCCGCGGUAAUACGUAGGGGGCGAGCGUUAUCCGGAUUCAUUGGGCGUAAAGCGCGCGUAGGCGGCCGCCUAAGCGGGACCUCUAACCCCGGGGCUCAACCCCGGGCCGGGUCCCGGACUGGGCGGC